GCAAGAAACCUAGGCCAACUUCACAGGAUUGUUUUUGGCCCUUGGCAAAAGAGAGAGAUCUCAAUUUCAUCUCCGUCUCUCCCCUUCCAGAGCAGAACCUGUCAAAGUAAUUUAAGUCCUGCCUUUUUUUUUUUUUUUUUAAAUACCGUGAGUGUCAUGCCAGUAAUUAAAAAAAAUAAAGGACCUGGAUCUCUCUUCUGGGGAGUUGCAGCUAGAAGAGGAGGCUCCUGCAAAUUGCAAUUCCAACCCCUGUCAGCAGUUUCUAGAGCAACAAGUCAUUCCGGAGAUGCUACAUAAUUGCACUUUCCUGGGCGACCCCUCGGCUUUGCCAAGCAGCUCCAUGCCCACGCCGAGACAGCCGGCUUAGGAAGCACAGCACGAAGCAGACAAGAGCUGAUCUCCCCCUUGCAAGGAAAAAAAAAAAUCAAGAAAGAAAGAAAAGAAGAAGAAAAAAAGAGCCAAGCGAAGAUUUACCUCAGCAGUGCAUGCAGUGAAUCACUUCCAUCA